AACGAACGCUGGCGGCAUGCCUCAUACAUGCAAGUCGAACGAGGUCUUCGGACCUAGUGGCGCACGGGUGAGUAACAUGUGGGAAUCUACCUGAAGGUUCGGAAUAACUGCGGGAAACUGUAGCUAAUACCGGAUGUGUCUGCAAAGAGAAAGAUUUAUCGCCUUCAGAUGAGCCCGCACUAGAUUAGCUAGUUGGUGAGGUAAUUGCUCCACCAAGGCUACGAUCUAUAGCUGAUUUGAGAGGAUGAUCAGCCACACUGGGACUGAGACACGGCCCAGACUCCUACGGGAGGCAGCAGUAGGGAAUAUUGGACAAUGGGGGAAACCCUGAUCCAGCAAUGCCGCGUGAGUGAAGAAGGCCUUCGGGUUGUAAAGCUCUUUCAUCAAUGAUGAUAAUGACAUUAGUUGAAGAAGAAGCCCCGGCUAACUUCGUG
rnacentral:rRNA from 1 species